AACGCACCUUGCGCUCCCGAGGCAUUCCUCGGAGCAUGUCUGUCUGAGUGUCUCUUUUCACUCUGUCGAUGGGUCUCGCCUGGGGGUGAGACGUUUCGACGGGAUCGUGGGGGUGUUCGGCGCGCGCCGUCUCCCAAAAGAGCGAUACGCCCGAGCCGUGGGCGGUGGCGUCCGACGUUGUAAGCGCAGCGCGUUCCUCGUUGGGUGCGCCGUCCGGAUAAGCUCGGCGACCAACGAAGACGAAUACUUGAUCAUUAGACCUCAGAUCAGGCAGGACUACCCGCUGAACUUAA
rnacentral:misc_RNA from 1 species